rnacentral:rRNA from 1 species
GAUGAACGCUGGCGGCGUGCCUAAUACAUGCAAGUCGAGCGAACAGAUGAGGAGCUUGCUCCUCUGACGUUAGCGGCGGACGGGUGAGUAACACGUGGAUAACCUACCUAUAAGACUGGGAUAACUUCGGGAAACCGGAGCUAAUACCGGAUAAUAUAUUGAACCGCAUGGUUCAAUAGUGAAAGACGGUUUUGCUGUCACUUAUAGAUGGAUCCGCGCCGCAUUAGCUAGUUGGUAAGGUAACGGCUUACCAAGGCAACGAUGCGUAGCCGACCUGAGAGGGUGAUCGGCCACACUGGAACUGAGACACGGUCCAGACUCCUACGGGAGGCAGCAGUAGGGAAUCUUCCGCAAUGGGCGAAAGCCUGACGGAGCAACGCCGCGUGAGUGAUGAAGGUCUUCGGAUCGUAAAACUCUGUUAUUAGGGAAGAACAAAUGUGUAAGUAACUAUGCACUUCUUGACGGUACCUAAUCAGAAAGCCACGGCUAACUACGUG